CCUACGGGGGGCAGCAGUGGGGAAUCUUGCACAAUGGAGGAAACUCUGAUGCAGCGACGCCGCGUGAACGAUGAAGGUUUUCGGAUCGUAAAGUUCUGUCCUAAGGGAAGAUAAUGACGGUACCUUAGGAGGAAGCACCGGCUAACUACGUGCCAGCAGCCGCGGUAAUACGUAGGGUGCAAGCGUUGUCCGGAAUUACUGGGCGUAAAGGGUUUGUAGGCGGUUUUUUAAGUCAGAUGUUAAAGCUCACGGCUCAACCGUGGGAUGCAUUUGAAACUGAGAGACUUGAGUCAAGGAGAGGAAAGUGGAAUUCCUAGUGUAGCGGUGAAAUGCGUAGAUAUUAGGAGGAAUACCAGUGGCGAAGGCGACUUUCUGGACUUGUACUGACGCUGAGAAACGAAAGCGUGGGUAGCAAACAGGAUUAGAUACCCCAGUAGUC
rnacentral:rRNA from 2 species